AGUAAAUUGGUUAAGUUAGAAAGGGCGCACGGUGGAUGCCUUGGCACUAGGAGCCGAAGAAGGACGGGACUAACACCGAUAUGCUUUGGGGAGCUGUACGUAAGCGUUGAUCCAGAGAUUUCCGAAUGGGGGAACCCACUAUCUUUAGUCGGAUAGUAUCCUUACGUGAAUACAUAGCGUGAGGAAGGCAGACCCAGGGAACUGAAACAUCUAAGUACCUGGAGGAAGAGAAAGAAAAAUCGAUUUCCUGAGUAGCGGCGAGCGAAACGGAAAGAGCCCAAACCAAGAAGCUUGCUUCUUGGGGUUGUAGGACACUCUAUACGGAGUUACAAAAGAAAGUUAUAAAUGAAGCGGUCUGGAAAGGCCCGCCAAAGACGGUAACAGCCCGGUAGUUGAAAUAGCUUUCCCUCCAGAGUGGAUCCUGAGUACGGCGGAACACGUGAAAUUCCGUCGGAAUCCGGGAGGACCAUCUCCCAA
rnacentral:rRNA from 1 species